rnacentral:rRNA from 1 species
CCUACGGGAGGCAGCAGUGGGGAAUAUUGCGCAAUGGGCGAAAGCCUGACGCAGCGACGCCGCGUGAGGGAUGAAGGUCUUCGGAUCGUAAACCUCUGUCAGCAUGGAAGAACGGUCACUGUGCUAAUCAGCAGUGAAUUGACGGUACCUGCAACGGAAGCACCGGCUAACUCCGUGCCAGCAGCCGCGGUAAUACGGAGGGUACGAGCGUUAAUCGGAAUUACUGGGCGUAAAGCGGUCGUAGGCGGUAUGUCAAGUCAAGGGUGAAAUCCCCGCGCUCAACGUGGGAACUGCCUUUGAAACUGGCAGACUGGAGUGGGUGAGAGGAUAGUGGAAGUCCAGGUGUAGGAGUGAAAUCCGUAGAUAUCUGGAGGAACAGCAGUGGCGAAGGCGACUAUCUGGCACAUAACUGACGCUGAGGAGCGAAAGCGUGGGUAGCAAACAGGAUUAGAUACCCGGGUAGUC